ACCCACAAGCUGAGGUUACACACGCACGCCAUCAGCAAUGCUGUCCAUCCACCAUUUCUUUGGUCUUCCACUUGGGUGGUGGCCUUGAAUGUGUAUAAUUGGUCAAGGUCACUCAGCAAGCUUCCAUGGAAGAAUGUGAAAUAGCAAACAGAUGAGCUGCAAGCAGAGGAAAUCUCUGUGGGGAAUCUCUUUGGAAAUGGACUACCUCCUCAAGGGUCAUUGCUUCAGGGGUCAGGAUCCCAAACUGGAAUCUGGGAGACCCAGUGCUCCCAACUGGAAAAAAACCAGCCUUCGGUUCCAUGGAAAGUUGAAGACCAAGCAAGGUGGGAGAUCUAUGAAUGGACCUCCUGCAACUUCUAACAUUUUAAACAGCAAGCGUGUGAGGCCAAGCAUCAGGUUGGGGCCUCAGUACAGGAGAAAGAAAGAGUUACCUCCCAUUGCAAACAGUUUUGAAAUACGAAUCACUUUCUCCUCCCUACCUCAGAUUGUUGUUUGCUCUGGAAAAACAAGUAAAAAAGUGUAUGUUUCUCUCUAUGGAGGAAAUGACCACCCAGGGUAAGAAAGGUUGUUCAGAUCAUGAAAACAAUGAAGGGGAAAGUUGAGCUGUUGUUCCUGCAGCCAUGGUUCAGUCACAUCCAAAUCAGGUCUUUGUGUGGUUCCACUGACAUGAAAUGGCUCCAAAGAGCCACUAUAUUCCCCAUUAGAGUAACUUACAUGUCUUGAUCCUUACACCUUAAUUUCCCCAGUUGAGUAAACAGUGGCUCUCCAGGGCCAUUACACAGUGGGAAAAUGGUGUGGAGGGGAAGUCUGAAAUCCCUUCUCCCCAUGCUCUGGACUUCUGAUUCAAAUUGGGUCCCUGUGAAGGACAGAUUGCACUAAAGUAUGUAUCUUAAUUUUUUUAAAGGCAGCUAUCCCACCAAUGCAUGCGGGGGAGGACCAGACUGAUAGUUAAUAGCAGUGUGCAAGAUUCUACCAUGGACGUAGAACCAACUUGACUGCUCUUAAAUUCUGACAUGUGACAUCACUUUACGGGAGUUAUGCUUCAUGCAGUUUCUUCUGCUUCUUCUGCCCAGUCUUCAAAUUGAACAGGUGUUCCCUUGUAAUGAAAAGUCUUAGUCCUAUAAUAUAUGAAGCAAUUACAGGCCCCUUCUGCACACGCAAAAUAAUGUGUUUUCAAACCACUUUCAGAACUGUUUGCAAGUGGAUUUUGCUAUUCCACACAGCUUCAAAGAGCACUGAAAGCAGUUUGAAAGUGCAUUAUUCUGCAUGUGUGGAAUGAGCCACAGUUACCUUCUAGUUCAAGUAGAGUGCUCUCCCAAAGUUGGGGUGGGGAAGGACUUGAUAUGGGAUUGUGAAUGUGAACUGGCUGGUCUUAGCAUCUGCCCUAAAUAAAUACAUAAUAAAGAAAGCAAUUAAUAGAAGAAACACUCAAGGGAUCUUGUUGAAAGAACACAUUUGUAGGAUGGUACUACAAUUUCAGCAAGCUAGUGGCAACAAAUGUUCAUGUUAAGAUCUGGGAGCAGAAGGGCGAAUCAUGGAAAAGUCUGAUCUGGAAAAGAGGCCAAGGGGACAAGAAGUUCAGCCUCCUUUCAUCAGGACUGGAUUGUGUGUGGAUGAAAAUGGCUCUUUUCAACUUUUCUCCUUCCUUCUUGCCUUGUCUGAAAAAGUCAGGGGAUCAUGUAAUAAGAAGACCAAUUUCAAUGCACUUUCUCCCCCAGACUUAUUUUCAUGCAAGGAGGAAGUGCAUCUGAUUUUAGCUGUGACCAUUGUACUCUUAGGAGAUGAUGCUUGAACUUAGAUAUGAACUUUUCAGCAAGCAUUUGUGACCAUUGGAAAUGCUCCAGUUUUAUUAUUUGGGGCUUUAGUUGCUGGCUCUCUGUUUAGCCAGCUGAGGUCACUGUGGGACCAUCUCUCAGCAAAAUGUCCUCCUGUUUUCUUUAUAGAACAGCAAGCACCUUGCUGGUGAAGGAAAGAGCAACUGCUGCAACAUAAUCUUUACCUCAGUUUAUAAAAGCUGGGACUAACUGACGGUUGUA